ensembl:rRNA 5S_rRNA 5S ribosomal RNA
UGUCCCGGACAUAUCACCCUGAACACACCCGAUCUCGUCUGAUCCCAGAAGCUAAGUAGGGUCAGGCCUGCUUAGUACUUGGAUGGGAACUUCAACAUAUGAAUUGAGGGGGUGGACAC